rnacentral:misc_RNA from 1 species
GAUCAAACAAAUAACUAAAUACGAUGGGUGUUAAAAAUUUCAUGUUAUGGGCAUUCCUGUGCACCACCACGGUAAACGCUGUCAGAUUUGACAUCACUAAUAGAGAGGGUGGUCCUGUAUGGGUUGGUAUUCAAGGAAACCCUGGUCAUGAACAUUUACGCAAUGGGGGAUUCGUCUUAAAUCAAGGACAAACGACUUCCGUAAAUGCUCCUGACAACUGGGCAGGGCGAUUUUGGCCUAGGACAUGGUGUGACCCUAAUUCAAAGCAUUGCAUGACCGGUGACUGUGGAAAUAGAGUAGAAUGUGCAGGAGCAGGAGGUGUACCUCCUGCUACCCUAUUGGAAAUUAAAUUGAAAGGAGACGCUGGGCUAGAUUACUACGAUAUCUCACUUGUUGAUGGUUUUAACAUCAGAGCCUUCAUUGAACCGGUAGGUGGACGUGGAGAUGGUGGCCGAUAUAACUGCAAGAGAGCUGGUUGCUUAGCGGAUGUUAACAGCCAAUGUCCCAACGAUUUACGAAUAAAUCACCAAGGACAAACAAUUGCCUGUCAGUCAGCCUGUAACAGAUUUAACAACGACCACUACUGUUGCAGAGGUCAGUACAACUCACCUAGUGCAUGCGAUAGCAGAAGAUGGCCCGUCAACUAUCCAGGUUAUUCCAAAGGAAAAUGUCCCGCUGCCUACAGCUACGCGCAGCGCCGGUUUAUACAUAAAGCGGGACAAGCGGCCGCUUGGGGGCCCGGGUCCCGAAGGGGCCCGUAUUUUGGUCAUAAAGAAAAUAUAAAUAUGAAAAUGAAGCAGAAGUCAAUAAAUAAAUGGCCUCUUAAAAAAGUCCGUGAAUUGUAGAACGAAUUGGCCAUUUUAAGAGAAGCAGGAGUACUUCCAAAAAUGGAAUCCAGAGCCGAAACAGAUAGUUGCGAUGAUGAAUUUAGUACUUAAGGAGAAGAUCAAAUAUCUGAAGUAGCUCUAAAUUCCAAAAUUUGGCUCGAACAUCAUUCCGAACCGUUUGAGGACGUUCUCAAGCAUUGGAUCGAAACCAAUAGUUUCAAACGUACUCAGUCGGCCACUUCGGCCUUUCAGACUGUGUCCAGUAUUUUAAACGAAUGACUUAUUUUGAAGUAUCAUUUUGGAUAUAUCCUAAUUGAAAAAGAUUUUGAGAUAGAAUAUCCGAAUAUCCACAAAAAGAAAAUAAUCUUUUUACGAAAUUCUGUGCUCUGUUUGACGCAGCAUUGGAGCUGAAGAAAAAGACUUGUGUCAACACGGACAAUGAGUUUUUAGUUGACCUGUUACAAGGCGAAUUAUCACAAGAUUCACGAACCCUUAUUCAGACUUAUCUAUUAUGUUCGUUCAUAUGUAAUAAGUCAAUGAAGUUAAAAAAGUGGGAAACCCAGUGUUGCUGAAUCAAGAGAAUCGAUUAUACUUCAAGUCAAGUGCCCUACAGCCAGCAUAUUGAACAAAUUUUUACAAUAAUUAAAUCUUAAUUCUGCGUAUAAAAAAUAUUGUUUUUACGCAAAUAAAAAAUAAUUUUAGUUACAAAACUAGUAUGCUUCUCGUAAUUAAAGUUUACUGUUACAGAUAAAAUAUAUAUGUUUUAAAAAUCUUAUUAAAAUUAGGAAUAAUAUAUACCUUUCUAUUCUAAAUUAUAAUUUACUUACCACAAAUUAAAUCAAGAUAUUCUUGUUGACAAUCAUUAAUUAUAGAUAUUAUAAU